CCGAGUUUACAACUCCCAAACCCAUGUGAACAUACCUUUUGUUGCUUCGGCGGGAUGCCCCCGGCGCCUAGCGUGCCCGGGACCCAGGCCCCCGCCGGAGGACCCAAACUCUUGUUUUUAUAUAGAACUUCUGAGUGGAUUAUUUUAAUAAUUA
rnacentral:misc_RNA from 1 species